rnacentral:rRNA from 1 species
UACAGAGGUUGCAAGCGUUAAUCGGAAUUACUGGGCGUAAAGCGUGCGUAGACGGUCAUGUAAGUCGGGUGUGAAAGCCCCGGGCUCAACCUGGGAAUUGCAUUCGAGACUGCAUGGCUAGGAUGCGGAAGAGGGAAGCGGAAUUUCCGGUGUAGCGGUGAAAUGCGUAGAUAUCGGAAGGAACACCAGUGGCGAAAGCGGCUUCCUGGUCCAGCAUCGACGUUCAGGCACGAAAGCGUGGGGAGCAAACAGG